GUGAGUCAUCGAAUCUUUGAACGCACCUUGCGCUCCUUGGUAUUCCGAGGAGCAUGCCUGUUUGAGUGUCGUGGAGACGUCGGGCCCUCACUUCCUUUGCUGGAGUGGGCUCGGAUUGGAUGCGCCUGCGGUCCUGAAAGGCCCGCUCGUCUUUAAAUGCAUUAGUACUGGUCAGGUCCAAGCGACGGUGUGAUAAACGUAUGCUUAGUGCGCCGUUCGUUGUCUGGCCCGGGUCGCUUACAGUCGUCUUCGGACAAGCCUUCUUUCAACGUCAUAUUGACCUCAAAUCAGGCAGGACUACCCGCUGAACUUAAGCAUAUCAAUAAGGCGAGG
rnacentral:rRNA from 1 species